rnacentral:rRNA from 1 species
UACGUAGGGUGCAAGCGUUGUCCGGAAUUAUUGGGCGUAAAGAGCUCGUAGGCGGUUUGUUGCGUCGGCUGUGAAAUCCCGAGGCUCAACCUCGGGUCUGCAGUCGAUACGAGCAAACUAGAGUGUUGCAGGGGAGACUGGAAUUCCUGGUGUAGCGGUGAAAUGCGCAGAUAUCAGGAGGGAACACCGGUGGCGAAGGCGGGUCUCUGGGACGGUACUGACGCUGAGACGCGAAAAGCCGUGGGGAAGCAAACAGG